rnacentral:tRNA from 1 species
CAGAAUCUGCUACACAAGCAAUUGGGCCCAUACCCCAAAAACGGCGAAACUCGCCUUCUGAUA